rnacentral:rRNA from 1 species
AUGGGUACGCCAACUCCUAUUUCUUUGGGUAUAGGAUACGCACUGGCAAGGAAGCUUCCCAAGACUGGCGCUGCAGCACAAUCAGGUCAGGGUGCUAGAAUAGUAAAAAGCUCAAGUGAUGAAAAAAAGAUGACGCAUGGUGAUUGGAUGAGCUUCGCCUGCAUGUCCCUGCUGCAUCCCCGUGUCUCCAAGUGCAGGGGACUAAGCGCAGAGAGGAUUGCCGAUCCUUGCCUGCAUAUACAUGCACCAUGGAUGUGUGCCAUAUGGCAUGAUGCACAACAUGCCAUUGAGACCACCGGAUCGUUGCUCAGUACAUCUGGUACAUACACACGAACCUCCCUCCACUGUAGUGUCACCGUUGUUUGUUUCAUCUCUCGACUACGACACUUUGUACCACAAGAGGACAACAGUAGCUUCAGGAUAGGGGGCCAACCCUAUUAUCCUUUCAUGAGUGAUGACCACUACUUUCGCCUUUUUGAAACCAAACAUUACACAAAUUGGUCAUGUGGCAUGUAA